rnacentral:rRNA from 1 species
GACGAACGCUGGCGGCGUGCCUAAUACAUGCAAGUCGAACGAGAGCGACCGGUGCUUGCACUGGUCAAUCUAGUGGCGAACGGGUGAGUAACACGUGGGUAACCUGCCCAUCAGAGGGGGAUAACAUCCGGAAACGGAUGCUAAAACCGCAUAGGUCUUCGAGCCGCAUGGCUUGAAGAGGAAAAGAGGCGCAAGCUUCUGCUGAUGGAUGGACCCGCGGUGCAUUAGCUAGUUGGUGAGGUAACGGCGCACCAAGGCCGGGAUGCAUAGCCGACCUGAGAGGGUGAUCGGCCACAUGGGGACGGAGACACGGCCCAAACUCCUACGGGAGGCAGCAGUAGGGAAUCUUCCGCAAUGGACGCAAGUCUGACGGAGCAACGCCGCGUGAGUGAAGAAGGUUUUCGGAUCGUAAAACUCUGUUGUUAGAGAAGAACAAGUGCUAGAGUAACUGCUAGCGCCUUGACGGUAUCUAACCAGAAAGCCACGGCUAACUACGUG